UGAUUAUUCAUUAUUCUCUGGCUUUAGUGCAUUAAAGCAUGUUGAAUAUAAAAACCGGAGAGUGCCAGUUGUAUUACUGUUGUGGUCAAAUGUGGCACUUUACUGAAUCAGCGGUAAAUAACUCUAUUUGGAUUUCGCCCCGUUGCUGUAUUGAUUUUCACGGUGCGGUCGGCGCAGACGCGCUGUCGCACGCCAUUCACAGACACUACUGGGUUACGACUGGCGAUUGUGUCAAGUGCCCAGCGCCGUGGACGGCUGGCCUGACAGCCACGCCGCGCAGAUGACCUCCCUCAGAUGGAAGCGGGUGGAAGUUUUGAUAGCUGCCCUGGGAGCACGAAGGCAAAAAGAGCAGUCAGCCUUUCCAAACGGAUCCUCAUCUCGCCGCUCAAAUCCAUUUCCUGUCUGCCUGAGUCAAGGGUGAAAAGGAGAGUCUUGGGCCAAUGGCGACGGCGUUUAGAAGAGGGAUAAUGGAGUUUGAUCGGGGAGACCGGUCGUGGCCUGACUGGGUGACACUCUCAACGCCCAAAGGGUUGCCUGUCCCUGCCUGGUUUGUCUGGAUGUUAAGUUUGUUUUCCCCCAGGCAAGGAAAGGAUGGAUGUCUUUCUGUAGUCCAUCUUGGAAUGGGCCAGGACCACUUCUGCUGCCAGCUCUAUGGCACAGAGGGCCAAACAAUGAAGAGGAUGCCAUGUGAAGUCAAGCCUUGAACUUUGCCUUGAGAUGACUUUAUUAGCACUUCGGUGACUGUCACCUCCUCAAGCAUGCAUCCACGAUACAUCUCUGGCAAUAAUUAACCGGAAUAUAGACCAAAUCUAUACCCAUAAAUUGUUUAUUAAGCACUUCAGAAUGAGCUAGUCACUUGGUGAUUAAGUUGCUACCCCUCAGAUAUUAUCCUUAAUUUUGCCUGUCUGACCUACUGUAAAACGCACUUUCAAAUUUAUUGUUCAUGUUAUACCUGCAGUUUCACCUCUGAUAUCCUCAGAUCUCAGCAUGACAAAUAGGAAACUAUUAAUAUUAACAAGUCGGUGAAAUGGUGUGGUCACUUAAGAUGGGUGAAUUUGGUACACUUCGAUUGAGUCAACAUCGACCUCUCAGCUGAGGUUAGUUAACAUGGCUAGAGAGCUGGUUUACACCAACAGUAAUCAUCGUGCAAUAGUUCAUUGUCACACAAUUUUGAAUAUGUGAUUUGUCAGAUAAAUUUCAGCAACCAUGCAUUCAAGUUUAUGGAUGGUACUAAUUAAAUUACUGAUUAAUCACAAUAACUGGCGUCCUGUCCACAUGCUACCACAGCCUGGUACCCUAUACUGAUUGCACCCCCCCCCCCCACACACAGUUUUCAUGGUGGCAAUGAGCAGAAAUACUUAAUUUAUAUUGCUUCAUUAAAUGUGGAUUUCUGCAAAUGGAUUUUGAAAACUGUACUGUAAAGAACAAUGAUCAAGGAAAACAAGACACAGUGAAAAGUGA